AGAGUUUGAUCCUGGCUCAGGAUGAACGCUAGCUACAGGCUUAACACAUGCAAGUCGAGGGGAAACGACAUCGAAAGCUUGCUUUUGAUGGGCGUCGACCGGCGCACGGGUGAGUAACGCGUAUCCAACCUGCCCAUCACUUGGGGAUAACCUUGCGAAAGUAAGACUAAUACCCAAUGACGUCUCUAGAAGACAUCUGAAAGAGAUUAAAGAUUUAUCGGUGAUGGAUGGGGAUGCGUCUGAUUAGCUUGUUGGCGGGGUAACGGCCCACCAAGGCGACGAUCGAGGUAGGGGUUCUGAGAGGAACGGUCCCCACAUUGGAACUGAGACACGGUCCAAACUCCUACGGGAGGCA
rnacentral:rRNA from 1 species